rnacentral:rRNA from 1 species
GAUGAACGCUGGCGGCGUGCCUAAUACAUGCAAGUCGAGCGAACCACUUCGGUGGUGAGCGGCGAACGGGUGAGUAACACGUAGGUGAUCUGCCCAUCAGACGGGGACAACGAUUGGAAACGAUCGCUAAUACCGGAUAGGACGAAAGUUUAAAGGUGCUUCUGGCACCGCUGAUGGAUGAGCCUGCGGCGCAUUAGCUAGUUGGUAGGGUAAAGGCCUACCAAGGCGACGAUGCGUAGCCGACCUGAGAGGGUGAACGGCCACACUGGGACUGAGACACGGCCCAGACUCCUACGGGAGGCAGCAGUAGGGAAUCUUCGGCAAUGGGCGAAAGCCUGAUCGAGCAACGCCGCGUGAAUGAUGAAGGCCUUCGGGUUGUAAAAUUCUGUUAUAAGAGAAGAACGACUUUAGAGUAACUGCUACAGUCUUGACGGUAUCUUAUCAGAAAGCCACGGCUAACUACGUGCCAGCAGCCGCCGUAA